UAUGGUGGUAUUGCCGGGGGUGUUCACCUCUUCCCAUUCCGAACAGAGAAGUUAAGCCCCCCAUGGCCGAUGGUACUGCAUAUCGCGGGAGAGUAGGUAGCUGCCAUAU
rnacentral:rRNA from 1 species